UACGAAGGGAGCAAGCGUUGCUCGGAUUUAUUGGGCGUAAAGGGUGUGUAGGCGGUUUGAUAAGUUAGAUGUGAAAGCCCAGGGCUUAACCCUGGAAUUGCAUUUAAGACUGUCAGACUUGAAGAUCGAAGAGGUAAGCAGAAUUCCCAGUGUAGAGGUGAAAUUCGUAGAUAUUGGGAAGAAUACCAAUGGCGUAGGCAGCUUACUGGUCGAAUCUUGACGCUGAGGCACGAAAGCGUGGGGAGCAAACAGG
rnacentral:rRNA from 1 species